AUAAUCUGGUUUCCUUUCGAUACGUAUAAAUGUUCCGCCUUUUACAAAAAAUUUCCGUGGAAAGGAACAUAUGAUGAGUCUUUAAACGUAAAUAAAUAAAUUGAACGUAAUUAGCUGCUU